UACGUAGGCAGCGAGCGUUGUUCGGAGUUACUGGGCGUAAAGGGUGUGUAGGCGGUUGUUUAAGUUUGGUGUGAAAUCUCCCGGCUCAACUGGGAGGGUGCGCCGAAUACUGAAUGACUUGGAGUGCGGGAGAGGAGAGUGGAAUUCCUGGUGUAGCGGUGAAAUGCGCAGAUAUCAGGAGGAACACCGGUGGCGAAGGCGGCUUUCUGGACGGUAACUGACGCUGAGACGCGAAAGCGUGGGGAGCAAACAGG
rnacentral:rRNA from 1 species